UACGUAGGGUGCGAGCGUUGUCCGGAAUUAUUGGGCGUAAAGAGCUCGUAGGCGGUUCAUUGCGUCGACUGUGAAAACCCGAGGCUCAACCUCGGGACGUCGGCGGAAACCAUCUGGCUAGAGUCCGGAAGAGGAGAGUGGAAUUCCAGGUGUAGCGGUGAAAUGCGUAGAUAUCUGGAGGAACACCGGUGGCGAAGGCGGCAUUCUGGACCGAUAUUGACGCUGAGGAGCGAAAGCCAGGGGAGCAAACGGG
rnacentral:rRNA from 1 species